AUUGAACGCUGGCGGAAUGCUUUACACAUGCAAGUCGAACGGCAGCACGGGGGCAGCCCUGGUGGCGAGUGGCGAACGGGUGAGAAUACAUCGGAACGUGCCCGGUCGUGGGGGAUAACGUAGCGAAAGUUACGCUAAUACCGCAUACGAUCUGAGGAUGAAAGCGGGGGACCUUCGGGCCUCGCGCGAUCGGAGCGGCCGAUGUCAGAUUAGGUAGUUGGUGGGGUAAAGGCCUACCAAGCCGACGAUCUGUAGCUGGUCUGAGAGGACGACCAGCCACACUGGGACUGAGACACGGCCCAGACUCCUACGGGAGGCAGCAGUGGGGAAUUUUGGACAAUGGGCGCAAGCCUGAUCCAGCCAUUCCGCGUGCAGGACGAAGGCCUUCGGGUUGUAAACUGCUUUUGUACGGAACGAAAAGGCUCUGGCUAAUACCUGGGGCUCAUGACGGUACCGUAAGAAUAAGCACCGGCUAACUACGUG
rnacentral:rRNA from 1 species